CCUACGGGAGGCAGCAGUGAGGAAUAUUGGUCAAUGGGCGUAAGCCUGAACCAGCCAAGUCGCGUGAGGGAUGAAGGUUCUAUGGAUCGUAAACCUCUUUUAUAAGGGAAUUAAGUGCGGGACGUGUCCCGUUUUGUAUGUACCUUAUGAAUAAGGAUCGGCUAACUCCGUGCCAGCAGCCGCGGUAAUACGGAGGAUCCGAGCGUUAUCCGGAUUUAUUGGGUUUAAAGGGUGCGUAGGCGGCCUUUUAAGUUAGCGGUGAAAGUAUGUGGCUUAACCAUAGAAUUGCAGUUGAAACUGGGAGGCUAGAGUAUGUUAGAGGCAGGUGGAAUGCGUGGUGUAGCGGUGAAAUGCUUAGAGAUCAAGCAGAACACGGAUUGCGAAGGCAGCCUGCCAGGCCAUGACUGACGCUGAUGCACGAAAGCGUGGGGAUCAAACAGGAUUAGAUACCCGUGUAGUC
rnacentral:rRNA from 1 species